GAUGAAGAACGUAGUGAAAUGCGAUAAGUAAUGUGAAUUGCAGAAUUCCGUGAAUCAUCGAAUCUUUGAACGCACAUUGCGCCCCCUGGCAUUCCGGGGGGCAUGCCUGUCCGAGCGUCAUUUCUGCCCUCAAGCCCGGCUUGUGUGUUGGGCGUGGUCCCCCCGGUUUAGGGGGGACCUGCCCGAAAGGCAGCGGCGACGUUCCGCCUAGGUCCUCGAGCGUAUGGGGCUUUGUCACCCGCUCGGGAGGGGCCUACGGGCGUUGGCCAUCCACCAUUUUUUUUUACGGUUGACCUCGGAUCAGGUAGGAGUUACCCGCUGAACUUAAGCAUAUCAAUAAGCGGAGGA
rnacentral:misc_RNA from 1 species